GUGCUCGCUUCGGCAGCAUAUAUACUAAAAUUGGAAUGAUACAGAAAAGAUUAGCAUGGCCCCUGUGUAAGCAUGAUAGGCAAAUCCUGAAGCGUUCCAUUUUUUU
rnacentral:snRNA from 1 species